UACGUAGGUGACCAGCGUUGUCCGGAUUUACUGGGCGUAAAGAGCGCGCAGGCGGUCGUUCAAGUCGAGUGUGAAAGCCCCCCGGCUCAACUGGGGAGGGUCAUUCGAUACUGAUCGACUGGAAGGCAGGAGAGGGAAGCGGAAUUCCCGGUGUAGUGGUGAAAUGCGAUAGAUAUCGGGAGGAACACCAGUGGCGAAGGCGGCUUCCUGGCCUGUUCUUGACGCUGAGGCGCGAAGGCCAGGGGAGCAAACGGG
rnacentral:rRNA from 1 species